CAGCCAGAUCACGUUAAAACACCGGUCCUCUUACGGUCACCGAAGUUAAGCAACGUUGAGCCGGAUCAGUAACUAGAUGAGUGACCACUUGGAUGUGCGGGUGGUGUA